rnacentral:rRNA from 1 species
GACGAACGCUGGCGGCGUGCUUAACACAUGCCAGUCGAACGGAAAGGCCUCUUUCGGGGGGUACUCGAGUGGCGAACGGGUGAGUAACACGUGAGUAACCUGCCCUUGACUUUGGGAUAACUUCAGAAAACUGGGGCUAAUACCGGAUAGGAGCUCCUGCUGCAUGGUGGGGGUUGGAAAGUUUCGGCGGUUGGGGAUGGACUCGCGGCUUAUCAGCUUGUUGGUGGGGUAGUGGCUUACCAAGGCUUUGACGGGUAGCCGGCCUGGGAGGGUGACCGGCCACAUUGGGACUGAGAUACGGCCCAGACUCCUACGGGAGGCAGGAGUGGGGAAUAUUGCACAAUGGGUGGAAGCCUGAUGCAGCAACGCCGUGUGCGGGAUGACGGCCUUCGGGUUGUAAACCGCUUUCGCUCAUGACGAAGCUUUGUGUGACGGUAGUGGGUAAAGAAGCACCGGCUAACUACGUG